rnacentral:lncRNA from 1 species
GUACUCCGGGCAAGCAGCAACCCUGUGAGCGACGUGGAGGCCUGGCCAUAUAAAUGCAUCUCUGACAGCUUCCUGUUGCUCCCUAAUUUGAGCUUUGGCAGGCCACCAGAGGAAGUGAAUCCCUGAGACUCUCCUGAUGCAAGACGAGCAAAGAAAAGGAAGCAGGCAAGGAGGGAAAAAGCAAUGGCAACAAAUACUGGUGAUCUCUUACAUGGGCAAGAUUGCAAAAUAGGAAGAGACCAAGGAGAAAGACAAACCACUUCUUUAAAGGUCAUCGCCUGUUGUCUCCAAAAAGAUGCUGAAGAACUGGAAAAAGUCCAAAGAGGACAACAAGCAUGGUUGAAGACUUGGAAUAUAGUCCCAGGAAGGAACUAGGUAGGCUCUGAUGCUUUAGCCUGCAUAAGGGGUAGAUACCAGCCAUUUGCUGUCUCAUCCCAUGCAGGAGCCUGGUUAAUCAA